rnacentral:rRNA from 1 species
GACGUACGCUGGCGGCGUGCCUCAUACAUGCAAGUAGAACGCUGAAGGAGGAGCUUGCUUCUCUGGAUGAGUUGCGAACGGGUGAGUUACGCGUAGGUAACCUGCCUGGUAGCGGGGGAUAACUAUCGGAAACGAUAGCUAAUACCGCAUAAUAGCAGUUAUUGCAUGAUAACUGUUUGAAAGGUGCAUAUGCAUCACUACCAGAUGGACCUGCGUUGUAUUAGCUAGUUGGUGGGGUAACGGCUCACCAAGGCGACGAUACAUAGCCGACCUGAGAGGGUGAUCGGCCACACUGGGACUGAGACACGGCCCAGACUCCUACGGGAGGCAGCAGUAGGGAAUCCUUCGGCAAUGGACGGAAGUCUGACCGAGCAACGCCGCGUGAGUGAAGAAGGUUUUCGGAUCGUAAAGCUCUGUUGUAAGAGAAGAACGAGUGUGAGAGUGGAGAGUUCACAACUGUGACGGUAUCUUACCAGAAA